NNNNNNNNNNNNNNNNNNNNNNNNNNNNNNNNNNNNNNNNNNNNNNNNNNNNNNAUGGGUUUGCUCAUGGACUGGGGGGUGUUUGGGAUCAUUGAUCCAAGGGUUUGCUCAUGGAUUGGGGAUAUUUGGGAUCAUGGAUCCAAGGGUUUACUCCUGGACUGGGGAUCUUUGGGAUCCUGGAUCAUGGAUCCAAGGGUUUGCUCGUGGAUUGGGGGGUGUUUGGGAUCAUGGAUCAUUGAUCCAAGGGUUUCCUCAUGGAUUGGGGAUCUUUGAGAUCGUGGAUCCUGGAUCCAAGGGUUUCCUCGUGGAUUGGGGGGUGUUUGGGAUUGUGGAUCCAUGGGUUUGCUCAUGGAUUUGGGAUCUUUGGGAUCAUGGAUCAUGGAUCCAAGGGUUUCCUCAUGGACUGGGGAUCUUUGGGAUCAUGGAUCAUGAAUCCAAGGGUUUCCUCAUGGACUGAGGGGUUCUUGGGAUCGUGGAUCCAAGGGUUUGCUCCUGGAUUGGGGCUGGAAUUGGGGGGUGUUUGGGAUCCUGGAUCCAAGGGUUUCCUCAUGGACUGGGGGGUGUUUGGGAUCAUUGAUCCAUGGGUUUCAUCAUGGAUUGGAGAUCUUUGGGAUGGGGGAUCCAAGGGUCCUCAGGGUCAUGGAUCCAUGGGUUUGCUCCUGGAUUGGGGCUGGAAUUGGGGGGGGGGUCCUUGGGAUCCUGGAUCCAAGGGUUUGCUCAUGGACUGGGGACCUUUGGGAUCAUGGAUCCAAGGAUUUCAUCAUGGACUGGGGGGUGUUUGGGAUCCUGGAUCCAUGGGUUUCCUCAUGGAUUUGAGAUCUUUGGGAUCGUGGAUCCAUGGGUCCUCAGGGUUGUGGAUCCAGGGGUUUGCUUCUGGAUUUGGGAUCUUUGGGAUCCUGGAUCCAUGGGUUUCCUCCUGGAUUUGGGAUCUUUGGGAUCGUGGAUCCAUGGGUUUCCUCAUGGAUUGGAGAUCUUUGGAAUGUCGGACCCGGCUGUUUUUAUCCCGCGGGGAGAGGCGACCUCAGCCCUGCCCCGCCCCAGGCCUGGCCCCCUGUCCCUGUGUCCCCAAUGUCCCUGUGUCCCCAUGUCCCCAUGUCCCUCUGUCCCUGUGUCCCCAUGUCCCUCUGUCCCUGUGUCCCCCUGUCCCUGUGUCCCCAUGUCCCUGUGUCCUGUGUCCCCAUGUCCCUCUGUCCCUGUGUCCUGUGUCCCCAUGUCCCCGUGUCCCUGUGUCCCAUAUCCCUGUGUCCCU
rnacentral:lncRNA from 1 species